GACUUUAUAGGGAGCAUUAACACUGAAGGUC
rnacentral:piRNA from 1 species